rnacentral:lncRNA from 1 species
CCAAGACCCCGGGACUUCAAAUCAAAUGUACUAUGACAUCAUUGAAACUCAUUCAGAACUUUGGAAUGCUCACAACAACUUCAAAUCACCAAUUAACAUACGAUUCAAGCCUAACUCCAAGAACUCUUAAAUUAUGAUUUCGAUCAAAAAGUCUAUCAAAUGUCGUUCGAAUGACCUAAAAUUUAGCAAGAAUGUCAUA